UUCAUUCGGGUUUUAUAACCCUUUACAUUUUAUUUUUAUAUAAUUUCUGUCUUGUCCGAUUGCAGGAGAUGGGCAAACGGUGGAGGUGACUUCAGACGGCAUGGGCAAUGGCUAAGUUGUCAGAGGCGUGCAUAGCAGAGUAUGGGGCUAGGGUUUUUUUUUUAUUUUUUUGUUUCUUUUGAUGUUGGGUUACUUUAGUUAUUGGGCUGGUGGUAUUUUGGGUUUGAC
rnacentral:lncRNA from 1 species